rnacentral:rRNA from 1 species
GUCGAACCGUCCAAACGUUAUUCGGAAUCACUGGGCUUACAGAGUUCGUAGGCGGUCUGGAAAGUUGGGUGUGAAAUCCCUCGGCUCAACCGAGGAACUGCGCUUGAAACUACCAGACUCGAGGGAGAUAGAGGAAAGCGGAACUGAUGGUGGAGCGGUGAAAUGCGUUGAUAUCAUCAGGAACACCGGUGGCGAAGGCGGCUUUCUGGGUCUUACCUGACGCUGAGGAACGAAAGCCAGGGGAGCGAACGGG